GUUCAUUUAACAAAGAGCAGCACAGAAUUGAUUAGACUCCACCAUGGUUUUCCCUGAUUUACUGAAGCUUUCCAGUCUAGGUCUGGAUCUGUAACCCUGCAUUCACCAAUUCUGGUCCAAAUGAUUUGGGCUGGGCUGGAGCAUUAUUCACUUCAUAUAGAUCUUGAGAGGGUAAUAUAGGUUAUGGUUAAAAACAUAUCCUACUUUAUAUACUCAAGUCAACCAGCCACAUUCCUCUUAUAGAAUUUAAGUAUCUCCAUUCUGUAUUCCAAGAUAUCAGUUCUCAACUGUCAUGAGUGGUCAUCUAAGGAACAUAGGAAGCUACCAUAAAAUGAGUCAGACCUUAGAUCAGUCUUGCCUGCAAUGACUGCCGGUGGCUCUCUAGGGUUUUAGACAGUCCUUCUUCUCCCAGCCCUACCUAGAGAUGCAGGAGAUUGGACCUAGGACUUUCUGCAUGCAAGACAGAUGCUCCAUCACUGGGGCCUAUGAACAUACAUCCAAUCCUGCCAUUGUAUGUAAUCUUUCCAGGAGCACAGAGGUGAGUAACAGCUAGGCAUGAUCCUUAAGAUGAUGGAGGAGUGCUUAUGAUCCAUACUGUGCAGCUGGUUCUUUAAACAUUUUCUGUGAUCCAGAUAAAUGUACAAUGGAUGUGGUUCGGAACUUUAUUGCAUCAAAUGGUUGGGCCCAAAUAAUGGCUACCAACCCUGCUACAACAUACAGUGGUACCUCAGGUUACAUACGCUUCAGGUUACAGACACUUCAGGUUACAGACUCCGCUCACCCAGAAAUAGUACCUCUGGUUAAGAACUUUGCUUCAGGAUGAGAACAGAAAUCGUGCUCCGGCGGCAUGGCGGCCGCGGGAGGCCCCAUUAGCUAAAAUGGUAUCUCAGGUUAAGAACAGUUUCAGGUUACGAACAGACCUCCAGAACUAAUUAAGUUCUUAACCCGAGGUACCACUGUACAAUGUUGCCAGAUUCCGCAUAGCAGUAUCCAAAAUUCGUCGGAUGCUGAUCUGCGCCACAAACUAGAUUUAAUGAACACUCAUAUCAGAGUGCUCUGUAAACUGAUAGCUAUAGUCUUUUCUAUACAGUGGAAGCCAAACGCCUUGGCUCCUGAACACAUCAGCUCCUGAACGAUUGAAACCCAGAAGUGAGUGUUCUGAUUUCUGAAUGAUUUUCGGAAGCCGAACAUCCAGCGCGGCUUCCACGGCUUCCGAUUGGCUGCAGGAUGCUCCUGCAACCAAUCGGAAGCUGCACGUUGGUUUUUGAAUGGUUCCAGGAGUCGAACAGACUCCCAGAACACAUUCUGUUCAAGAACCAAAAUACAUCUGUACUCACCUUUUAUGCUCUUCCACAUCCGUUUAAUGCUCCUAACCCUUCUUUUAGCUUCUUUUGGAUUCUUAUAGUCUUUUAUAUACACCUUCUGUUUUAAUAAGGGUGGUGCUGUGGGUUAAACCACAGAGCCUAGGGCUUGCUGAUCUGAAGGUCAGCGGUUCGAAUCCCAGCGACGGGGUGAGCUCCUGUUGCUCGGUCCCUGCUCCUGCCAACCUAGCAGUUCGAAAGCACCUCAAAGUGCAAGUAGAUAAAUAGGUACCGCUCCGGCGGGAAGUUAAAUGGCGUUUCCGUGUGCUGCUCUGGUUCGCCAGAAGCGGCUUAGUCAUGCUGGCCACAUGACCCGGAAGCUGUACGCCGGCUCCCUCGGCCAAUAAAGCGAGAUGAGCGCUGCAACCCCAGAGUCGGCCACGAGUGGACCUAAUGGUCAGGGGUCCCUUUACUUUACUCUGUUUUAAUAAUUUUUAGCUUUCCAAAAUGUUUUACAGUGUUUAAAUGAUUGUAUCCCUCCCCUACUUAUGCUGGUCUCUGACCGUAAUAAAGAUUUGAUUGAUUGUACAUAACGGCUCAUACACCUUGCUUGGGGUGGUUCUCUUCUCUACGAGAUGUUUGGAAUUUUAUCUCAAGCUUUCCUUGGGUCAUUUAUGGAUUUUCCCAAGCUGCUGGCCUCGCUUUAAGAGCCCUCUAUUUACGGUGAUGCCUUUGUGUAUAUUCCUUUCCUUUCCAGGAAGGAGGCACUACGGAUGCAGCUCCGCUAGGGCGGGGGGUGAGAUUGUUCAGUGAGAAGAGGAUAUUGGUUGGAAAUUAAUGGUGACACCUGCUGAGGAGAAAGACAAGUAACAGGAAGAUGUUUACUUUCCAGCUCGUUAGUCAAAGGGGGACUACGUUAGGAUCAAGGAGAUGGGCAUGUCAAGAUAACGAACUUCAGUCCAAAUUUCACGCCAAAGCCAUGCUUUGUGAUGCUUGUGAAGUUUGGCAUAAACUCUGGAAAGGUUCCUUAGGCAUUCAGCUUUAAGAAAUAGUCAAAUAACAAUGUGACAUUCUCUUGCGAUGCAGCCAUCAUUCAUAGGCUAGCUUCAGAUGUAAAGGAAAACCGUUGCUGGCAUUUAAUUCAUGAAUCCCUUCAGCAAGAGCCCUGCAUAAGGACUUCUGAUUGUGCAAUGGGUCUUUCCCCCUCACUUUUCCCCCUGCAGCUGCUGAAAUGGGCAGGGGGGGCAUUGGGAGAACCUCUGGAAUAGCAUUCUGUGGGAGGAGAGGGGGAAUUAAUAGCAAAUCAAUAUUCCUGAAAAGUGUACAAGAAAUGUAUUAUGGAAAGCACAUGCCAAGCAUGAGCUGUGACCCAUGCUAAUGAGAGGAAGGAAUGGAGAGGAGGGGAGAAUCCUGGAGAAAGCUGUGAGACUUGAAAAUAUGAGCAAAUUAUACUGAGCAAUGCACUUUAAUAUAAUUUUAAUCUCCUCGUUCUUUUUCAUCAUUUCUGAUGUUCCAAUAUCCUUGACAUGCUGCAGACAUUCAUAUUAUCCUACUGCAGCUAAAAUCAGUAUUCUGUUCUCACAAUCACUUUUGCAAAACACAGAGGUGUGUUGAAGUCCUGAGGUAGCUCUGGGCAGGGGCGAACGAAGGCAUCGUGACACCCGGAAUGGGGUGUCGCUACGUAGGGCGCAUGUGCAGCAUCGCUAUGUACGACGCAUGCACCCGAUGCCGCACAUGCACUGUACAUAGCGGUUUGCCGGCGCCACCGCUUCAGCGCCAUAUGGACGGUGCUGGGAUCCUCUGCUCGUGACUGCAGCCGUGAACGGAGGAUCCUCUACAUGUGGCUGUAGCGGUGACAGAGGGAUCCACCGCCAUCUGUACAGCGACUGAGCGGCACCGGCGGCAAACUGCUAUGUACAGCACAUGUGUGGCGUUGUUACGUACAGCGCAUGCAUGCGACGCCGCACAUGCGCUGUACAUAGCAGUUUGCCGCUGGUGUCAGGAUCCUCCGCAUGCGGCUGCAGCGGCGUGAUGGCUGCUCACUCCCUCGCGUGCCCCCGCGGGGUGCCUUCUUGUCACUCCCCAGACAUGACACCUGGGGCACACCGUCCCCUGCCCCCCAUUGCAACUCCACUGGCUCUGGGGACUAAAAGUGGCUUAACUUCCAUAUAUUAAGAUCUAGAUGGCUCUCAGACAUAAGACCAGAGGACUCCUUCUAUUUUGUGGGUUGCUUUUUUGCAAUCCUGCCCUGUUGAGUGGCAUUUUGUUUCCCAUAAAAGAGAACUCCUGAGCUGGUGUAAAUAUCUCGCCAGUUGGGAAGAUGAGUGGUGCCAUUUGGCAGAGAGAACUUUGGAUCCUGGGUGUUUUCUAGUCUGCCUGCCCCCCCAAAUCACCUGUGGUCUGGCCUGUGCUGGCUGAGCCAGGAUGUUGAAAAUGUCUGUGACAGAAUGUAGAUCCAACACUGGAUCUCUCUCUCUCUCUCUCUCUCUCUCUGAUCCCAGAAAGGGAGUUCUAAUACAUCCUAUAGGAUUGUAGUCUUGAUCCCAUGAAAGCAAAAAAAAGGGGGGGGUUCCCAUUCAUCUGCUAAACCACCUGAACGCAAUUAAAAAAACAAGAAGUGACACGUUCCAUAUACAUCUUCAGAGGAGACUUAUACUGAAAAAGGCUGAUUAGAAAUAAGUAUAUCAUGGAGUAGAGAGAAAUAUAAAAGACUUUGCCUGGAGGAAAGUAUAAUUCCUCCUGCUUCCCUCGCAAGACCCAAAUCCUCUCAUCUACAACCAUUUGCAUCUCUGUGUGGCUGGGAGAGCAAGUGGCGACUAUGACUCAUGCUAGUCGACUGUAUCCCCUCCUUUGACUUCACUGUUGCUAUUUCCUGAUAAUAAUGAAAAUAAUAAAGAAGGAUUUUGGAGAGGGGGAAUAAAGUGCGAUGAUGACUUUUUGAAUGUUAUGUCUUUGGAUGUCCCAUUGACUGACACAACAUCUGGCCCUAAAUAUAUUUACUGGUGCCAGUACCAGUAGUUGAGGUGGGUGAACUUGGUGGGUUUUGAGGUUUUCGACAUGUCUCAAACUGCUAAUUAAAUAUGUAAAGUUAGUUUGAAUUCACAGACUUUCCCACCACCCCUAUAAUUUAAAGCUAUAAUUUCUCCUACCCACAGAUGAUUCACUUUUAAAAAGAAAAACAUGGUUUCCUUGUAUGUUUGGAUUAGGAAAGCACCCAGAAAAAGGCAGAUUGACAAUAUAUGUCGUGUCUCAAUUUUGCUGUCUUCUACACACACAUCCAACACAGAUUUUUUUCCUUAUUCUCUUCUACCUUUCACAUUCUUAUUUCAUACAUCUAUUCUUUCAGUGAGUUCUGCCUCUUUUCUUUUAAUAGUCUCUCCUGAAUGUUUCCAUUUAUUUAUUCAUUUGAUCGAUCAAUUGUUUUCUACUCCACAUUUCAGUUCAAGGGGGAUUACGUAAAAAUUUCAAAAUGCAAUUAAGCGGGGGGGGGGGCUUUUAAAACCACUGGUAGAAAACAUCAAAUUAAAAGCACCAACCGAAACCCAGGACAAAGGACACAAAAUGCAGGUUAACAAUACUGGCAAUUCACACCCCACCAAAAAAAGGUUUUAUCAAAAUUAAAUGCUUUUUAACUGGCCUGAUACUAUAGUGAGACGAGACACCUUGAUGACCCUCUAUGAGCAGGGAUCCCACAGCAAAGGGUCCAUCUCUUAAAAUCCCUUCUUGUCAGCCUCAGAAACCUAGAGUUCUUGAAGCACGUUCUUGCCUCUUAAAGGUAAAGGUAAAGGGACCUCUGACCAUUAGGUCCAGUUAUGGCCGACUCUGGGGUUGCAGCGCUCAUCUCGCUUUAUUAGCCGAGGGAGCCGGCGUACAGCUUCCAGGUCAUGUGGCCAGCAUGACUAAGCCGCUUCUGGCGAACCAGAACAGCACACGGAAAUGCUGUUUACCUUCCCGCCGGAGCGGUACCUAUUUAUCUACUUGCACUUUGAUGUCCUUUCGAACUGCUAGGUUGGCAGGAGCAGGGACCGAGCAACAGGAGCUCACCCCGUCGUGGGGAUUCGAACCGCGACCUUCUGAUUGGCAAGUCCUAGGCUCUGUGGUUUAACCCACAGCGCCACCCGCGUCCCUUCUUGCCUCUUAAGCUACUGUAAUUGUUUAAAUGCUUGAACCCUACCUGGCUAUGUCCACCGCCUCAAACAAACCAAUUACUGUGGAUGGUCUCCUAAGCGGUCAUUUGACAAUAGGGUUGCGACUUAAGACAAAGGCUCUGCAGAACUUGUGCAUGAGAAACAGCAGUUUGACGUUUGAAUAAAGAGAGAAAGAAGCAAAACUUUCUAACUAGAGUUAGAAAGAUGCACCUGGGUCCAGCCUCAGGGGUGGAGAAUGCACAAGAUAGGCUCUUGUGUUCUUAACAUUUUCAGUGGCUCUGCAGGAGUGCCUGUUUGCCUCCACUAUGCCCUGCUUGCAUAUUCUUGUCUGGUUCUGUUGCUGGAUCCUGAUUCUCUAUGCACCUCCAUUUAAAAAAAUGUUUUGUUGUUUUAUUUAUCUUUUGAAUUACACACACACACAAUCAGUUUGUUAUAUGCUGCAAUAAGGCUCCCUUUCGAGGGGAAAGCCAGCCUAUGAAAUCUAAAUAAAAUAAAAUAAUAGUAUUUGUGAAUUAAGAAAAUAUUUUAAGAACACCCUCAGUCUCCAGUGCUUUUUGAUCCAAAGGAAAUGUCUGGACUUGGUGCUGUUGCCCCUGAAACAUCCCACUUCCUGCUUGGAAGUGGGGAUUGUGUAAGAGUAUUAUUGGGAAAGAUGCCAAUUGUACGAGUUUAUAAUCAGCCCACGUCCUUUUCGAUGUCUUUCGUAUCAUUUUACAUUCGGACUCUUGUUUCCUUUAGGAGCAGAACUAAUGCACCAAUAAAUGUGCUUAAAACUAAGCCAAAUAAGCACACAGAUACAAAUGGCAGUUUUCUACUUUUUCAUUCCGCAGCCUUGUCUCCAGCUGCUCUCCAUCGCCUGACAAUCCCGAUUCAAUCAGAUAGCAGUGCACUGUUUAGUAGUAUCCCAAACCUGUUGUGAGCAAGAAACAGAUUUUCUCAGUGUUUCAAGUUACUGACUUUUUGGGUGGCAGAGACUGAAAUGGUGGAAGGGGGAAGGGGCGUGUCAAUGCUUAGGAACAUCUUGUAAAUGUGUGUGUGGUUUUCCUGGUUGAAGAGGACACAGCCUCUCAUUUUGAAAAUGCCACCAACUGAUAAGAAAGAGAUGCUGGUGAAGGUUCUUCUGACCCAGACUAGAGUAUGAAAUUAAGGGACUUGUAGAAGCUUGCUUCAAAUGAGAGGUGAGUUUUUAAAGCCCUGAUAUGGCUGACAUGAAAUUCUGAGUUGGAGAUGAAUUCUUGGUUUUCCCCACUGUCCAUUGCUAAAAACUCUCCCGACCAGCCUACACACUUCCAAAACACAUUCUCCCAACCCCUUCACUAACCUCUCAAACAGUGAUUGGAUCAACAGUGAUGGUGGUAGGGCAAAAAAUCAUUUUCAUUUUAUUAGUUUUUACCUAACUAGCCCAUCUUUUCUCCCAUGAGCUCAAGGUGUUAUCCAUGGUUCUUCCCCCCACCCUCUAUUCUCACAACAUCCUUGUGAGGCAGGUUAGGCUGAGAGACUGCAACUGGCCCACAGUCAAACACUUAGGUUCAUGGUUCAAUGAACCCUGGUCUCCCAUGUUUUCUUCCAGUACACCACAACAUGGCGAGGGCCUUCUUUACACUUCCUUCCAUCCUUCUCCAUUCCCCUGACAUGCUGGUGAACCAGGCUUUGUGGUCUAAUGUGAACCCCACAUCUGUAUAGGGUGAAGACACUUGCCCUGGAGACCCCAUUUUUGACAUGAGGGUUCUGCCUCCUGGCCUAAUACAUCUUCAAGAUGAUGUAGCCAGUUCAUCUUACCAUGACUUCCUUUUUCUUGUUCCUAUAUAUCAGUAGUGGUGGCUCUCCGCAGAUCUCCAGAUGUUACUAGACUACAACUCCCAUCAUCCCUCACCAUAGGACAUGAUGCCUGGGGAUGAGGGGAGUCCAUCAAAACCUGGAGGAGCACAUGUACUCCAUUCCUGCCGUAUCUGUUGUGCCACCAUUCAGUAAUUCUGAAGGGUCCUCUCCCACAGAUCUUUCCAUCUGCACAGCAAACCAGGAAGAAAACACUAUAAGCAGCAGCCCCAGCAUCCCCAUGACAAGAUGCCUAAUGGUCAUCAGGGAGAGGAAGCAGAAGAGAUCCUACAAAGUGCCUGAGAUGGAACCUACAGAGAUCAAGUGAGACAGGAGAGGGCAAGGGGGUGCCCUGUAUCAGAGCAGACAAGCUUAUGCAUUUGUCCGAAGUAGCACAAUCCACCCCAACAAGACUGAUGCUAGAAGGAAGUUGCGGCACAACUGGGCCAGCUCUAACAUUUUACAGACUGAGGCAGCUGCCCCAGGUGACGAGUGUCCAGGGGGUUCUGGGAACAUGGAUUGUCAGUGAGGUGUUGGGGAACAGAGCCAUACAUGAAAUGUAACCUGUCCUGAAUCCCUGAAGGUUGUCUGCUGCCUUCCAGUGUGGUGGUGGAUACCGUCCUGUUUGUCACCGGUGCUGAAGUAAAAUUCAACUGCCAAUCCAUUCAGGAUCUGGAACGGAAGGGGGCAUCAGGCAAAACUGUGUCAGUGAAUGGCCUGGGAUUCGGACUCGGAGGCUGAACCUGAGGAAUCCCAGCCUGCACAGGAGUCCCCGCCUCCAGAACCAGCUGAGCCGGGGCUGGGGCUUGAGCCUGAAGGGUCCUCACCUGUGCUGGAUCCUCAGGUGCAGGCACCAGCUGAUUCUGCUCUGGCUCCUGAGGUGAUGGAGGACCCAUUGCCUGCAGGUGCUCCACUCUCAGCCCCGUCAGGGGAAGCUGAGGUUGCCUCUGGGUCCGGUAACCCUCCAGCCUCUCCUGAGCUGCAGAGGCUCAGGGCAGAGAGGCGGAGGGAACUAAGUUCCCGCAGGAGGAGUGCUCACCUCCAGGCCAGGUGUGAUGGCCUGGGAAUCCGAUUCAGAGGCUGAACCGGAGGAAUCCCAGCCUGCACAGGAGUCCCCGCCUCCAGGGCCGGCUGAACUGGGGCAGGGCCUUGAUUCUGAAGCGCCUGCACCUGUGCCGGAUCCUCAGGAGCAGGCACCAGGCAAAUCCACUCUGGCUCCGGAGGUGGUUGAGGACUCAGUGCCUACAGGUGAGUCUCCCCCUGGGUCCAGUAACCCUUCAGCCUCUCCUGAACUGCAGAGGCUCAGGGCAGAGAGGCGAAGGGAACUGGUUUCUCCCAGGAGGAGUGCGCGUCUUAAGGCCAGGAGAGGCGGGUAUCCUGGGGGCCGGGGCCGCCCCUGGCCUCAGAGAAGAUAAAGGCCAGUCAGCCUGGUCCCAGGUUGCGGGAGCAAUGUCAUUGAAGAACUGUUUCGGCCAGCAUCCAGUCCUGUUCCCCCAGAGUUCCUGUCCUUGCCCGGCUUCUCGCUGUGGACCCCGCUUCGCCCGAGGAGGACUGUCUGCCUACCCUCAACUCAGGUCCUGGACCUCGCCCCACGGUAACCUCCCCCCUGGACCAGCACACCGGGAGAGGCGAGUCACCAGUGGAUCGGGGCCACCCUAAUGCCUCGGGGCAGAUAAAAGCCAGCCAGCCCCAGUCCCAGGUUGCGGGAGCAACAUUGUUGGUAGCCUGUUCCUGCCUGCACCCUGUCCUGCUCUUCUGCCAGAGUUCCUGACCUCACCCGACUCCCUGCCUUGGACCCAGCUUCAACUCUGACGGACAGCCUCCAUACCGCACCCUCGACCUCAGACUGGACUCGGACCUCGCCGCACUGUUAACCCUCGGGACCAGCACAGUCUGUCUCAUGCUGGCCCCGAGACUCAGAGAACGUAUGAGGUCCUGAAGGGCCAUGUCUCUCAGCAGUGCCAGAAAAUUGCUCCCUGGCACUGCAAGGGGGAGUGUGGGAAAGGGGCCUGUUUCAGUUCUGUCCUGGAAGGAGUGCAGUUGCUAGAUGAAUUUAGCGUGGUAGCAGUUUACAAGACACAUGUCAUGCUCUUCUUUCUUAGUCUCUCUUGACGUUUUUAAUGGUGCAUCCUAGAGCAAAGCUUCUCCAAGCCGGUGGAUGGCAGGGUUCAGAGGCUUCAUCGCGCUUGUGUUUAAUGCAUUAGCUGGCAAAGCUUCAGCGCAGGGGUGGCUGGAAGGGGAUACAUUUGGUAAAUGUCUCCUCUCCCCUGCUACCUAUCUGAUUUCUCUUGAACCAAAUUUGCUAAGCUCCAGUCAAUUUUCUAAUCUCUGCUUGCUGACAGACUGCAGGCCAAGAGAAAGACAAGUUUAAAACCCUGAAAAUGAAGUGCAUUUUAUUUAUUAUGCUGUCUAAGAUGUUUUCAAUGAAGCAGACAGAGAUAGUGCCUUGCCAAAUUAGUGUCAUGACUUUCCAAAGGUUUUGGCUAGUUAGGAGACUUCCAGUAAAAAUACACGAUGGCGCUCAGACCUCUUGUGGGCGAUCCACACCUCUCUUGGAGCCUCCUCUUAUUAUCUUGUGGUUUCUGGUGGAGGGAAAGGGGGGGGGAGAGCACAACCCCCUAUGAAUGGCUUUGGACCUCUAGUAACUGUUCUGCAAAUUAUAUUAAUAACAAAUGGAGAAAGAGUUUAAUAUGCCAAAACACUUGGUUCCUCCCCACCCCCCAGCCCCGUGCCUCUGGUCUUCCAUAGCCGUGACAGCGAGAAUAUAAACAAACAUUAGCAAGAAAGCCUGGUUUGAUUAACGAGAACCAGGAAUGGGAAGAUAGACAAGAGCUGAAGGAGAACAGGAUUUCGGCAGGCAUUAAAAAGGAUGACCCUGCAGCUGAUUCUUUGAAGACCCCAAAUACCAGUAAAUGCUCUUCCGGGCUCAAGAAAUGCCUGCCCACUUUGGCCUUGUCACUUGGCAUGUAGAUCACACUCCUCACUGCUCAAACCUUUAAAAGCUAGUUUUGGUUUGCUAAGGCUUCGUAGUCCAUAGGCAGCUGCUCCACUAGUUCUUUUCCAACUCCACCCGACUAAUUUCCACGUGGUUCAAGUGGUUGCCCCCAGCUUGUUUCUGAACAGCAGGAAAGGGCCAUGACUCAGUGACAGGGCAUAUGCCCAACAACAGGGGUAGUCGGUGCAGUGACUUCAAGAUGUUGUUGGGUUCCAGGUCUCAUCAGCCCCAGCCAACAUGACUGAUGGGCAGGCAUUGGGACCAUCUGAAGGGCACCAUUAUGACUACCCCUGUUCUACAUGAAUAGGGUGCUGUUCAGCACUGAAUCUAUCUUCAGAUCAAGGACCAGAGGUACCAGGGAUUGCUAUCUGCUCUUUUAGUUUUUGUUGUCUUGCAGUAUUAAUCUUCAUUGUCUUGCAGUAUUAUUGUACAGUGGUACCUCUGGUUAAGAACUUAAUUUGUUCUGGAGGUCCAUUCUUAACCUGAAACUGUUCUUAACCUGAGGUACCACUUUAGCUAAUGGAGCCUCCCGCUGCUGCUGCUGCGCCGCCGCCACACGAUUUCUGUUCUCAUCCUGAAGCAAAGUUCUUAACCCGAGGUACUAUUUCUGGGUUAGCGGAGACUGUAACCUGAAGCGUCUGUAACCCUAGGUACCACUGUAUUGCAGUAUUGAUCUUUAACACUGUUAUAUUGUUGCAUCUUUAUUUGUCUUGUAAAGGUGGUCUUGGAAUAUUUUUUUAAAGGGCUGGGUACAAAUAACUUGGCACAAGUUUACCCCGCUAUGUGAUCGCUGGGGAGAGGGUGGGAGGAAUAAGGUGACAUGUGCCUCUCUGCCUGGUUUUACCAGUAGAGGCGCCAGCUGCAACCAGUUAGGGAGAAAACAACCGCUGGCAGCAGCAAUCAGAAAUACCCAAAUGGGGCAUUUCAGGGGCACUUGUGCAAAUGUCUCAUAGGUGUCCUGAGUUGAGAUUUGCUAGCCUGGAGCCAGGAUAGUGAAAAAUAAGAAAGGAGUUACUGGUUUGCAGUGAUGAAUCUGACACUCCCCUUCUCCUCUUUAGAUUGCUCAGCCCAUGGUCUACAAGGUAAGGUUAUCCACACAUCAGCUCCAUCAAAUACAGUCAACUGAACAGGUGGACGAUAGGAAGGCAACCUUAGGCUUCAGCUGAUUCAAAUGCAUGGGUUUAGCUAGUCCUAUAUGAUCCUAUUCAACAUCCUUUCUCUAGCUGAGUUAGUCCCCGGUUCAAUGCUUAUUAUGGUUGUACAUAUUGAAAUAUAAAGAGAAGUAUGUGCAUACUGUACAGAGCCAUUUGUCAGACCUUCCUUUCAUUCAUCCAAUAUGUAUUGUCAUCUGAAAAUCAGACUUCACAAGUUAACCUGUGGUUUCAAAAAUGUGAAGAUGAAAACAGUGUUGGGUGGUGUUUUUUAAUUUAUUUAUUUUUUAAGGAGAAGAAAACACUACAUAAAGUCUGCGUCUGUGUUGCUGGAUCGCUAUGAAAUAGACUUUUUUUUUUACCACCAGGAAAGUCUCUGAAAUCUAUUAAUAUUUCUGGCACCACCUUCAACAAAAAAUGCCACUGGUUUCAGUUAACAGUAGGCAUUUUAAAUCUUAUAGCAAGAAUGUCAGAAAAUGGCAUACAGACAUUAUUUUCCUCUGAGAGAUCCUUGAGAAAGUUGUGGGGGGGAGGCAGAGACGCUAGCCUAGUUGUGCACCACAGAACAAUAAUACAGCAUUUUGACUUUUACAAGCAAUCAUACUUAACACAACCAUUAUAAUUUACAUCUCCAGAUGUCACCGUCCUUUCCAGAAACUCAUUGAGGGCCUCCAGCCUUGAGUGAUGCCUGAAAAGAACAGGAAGAUGCACAGAAACCAUUUGGUCCUCCAUGCCAAAAUAUAGUUAUAGAAAGAAUGACUGUUUAGGGAUUCUUUGAGGCAAAGGCAUAAAUUAAUGCUUCAGUGUGCAGGCAAGAUUGGAUGUAUGAUCUCAUUGCAAGUUUUAUCCUCCUAUGCCAGGGCUGGGGAACUUGUGGUCUUCUAGAUAUCAUUGGACUGCAACUCCCAUCAUCCCUGACCUUUGGCUGUCCUAACUAGGGAUGGUGGGAGUUGGAGUUCAACAUCUUCCCCAGCCCCAUCCUAAAUAACCAGGAAACCAUGAUGUCUGUCAGUGGAGAUCAAAUUUCAGAGAUGCAACUUUUAAAAAAUCCCAGGGCCAAAAUAUUAAGAGUACAAAUUUGCAUGGGUUAUUUGUACCCAUGGAUUGGGUGACCGUGCUAAUCAUCCUUGGCCAUUGGCCUUGCUGGCUGGGGCUGAUGGGAAUCCAACAUCUGGAGGGUCACAGGUUCCCUCAUCUCUUCCAUAUAUAUAUAUAUAUAUAUAUAUAUAUAUAUAUAUGUGUGUGUGUGUGUGUGUGUGUGUGUGUGUGUGUGUUUUCCUGGCUAACCUAUGAAUAGUGGAUCAUGUGGUUCUUUCUCAGACUGUAGCAAUCAAUGAGCAGACAUGUUGAUGGAUGCCUCCACCUACUUGUAAAGGUUACCAGCUCAGACAUGGACCACAAGCAACAGCUGCUAGAAAGCCCCAACCCUUACCUGUCCUUUCAGCAUUGCUGCUGACCACACCUGAUCAUCUUCAGUUUUGAGGCAGCCUAUGAGGUUGGGCUAUUGAGUAUACAUCUGGAUCCCUUUGCUACUGCUACUAUGGAUGCCUGUUUUGUUUCAAAAGUAUACAGGCUAUAUAGGUAAAAGUAAAGGACCCCUGGACAGUUAUGUCCAGUCAGAGGUGACUAUGGGGUUGUGGCACUCAUCUCGCUUUCAGGCCAAGGGAGCCAGCGUUUGUCUGCAGACAGAUUUCCAGGUCAUGUUUGCCAGCAUGACUAAACCACUUCUGUUGCAGCAAAACACCAUGACGGAAACCAGAGUGCAUGGAAACACUGUUUACCUUCUCACCACAGGGGUACCUAUUUAUCUACUUGCAUUGGCAUGCUUUCGAACUGCUAGGUUGGCAGGAGCUGGGACAGAGCAACAGGAGCUCACUCUGUUCCAGGGAUUUGAACCACCAACCUUCUGAUUGGCAAGUCCAAGAGGCUCAGUGGUUAGACCACAGUGCCACCCACUAUAUACAAAGUACAGGAAAGACAUAUGGCCUCUGCCCACUUACACACUAUGUGAAUACUCUCUCAGGACUUCCUUCUUAGCUAAUUUACUAUUAUUCAUAUUAUUGGAAUUAUUUCCUGGUCCAGGGCAAAUAAAUGAGCAUUUGCUAAAGUCUUUCAUGGCAGGCUAGAAGCUGAGCAACAGGCUGUUGGAGGCUGUCAAGUUUAUUCUCAUGUGGAUUAAGCAAUUCCACAUUCCAAGGGUUGAAGGCAGGUGAUGUGUGAGGCUUCAUCUAAGAGGUGAGCCAUUAGGACAACUCUAAUCUCUUUCUUCUUCUUUUUCUCAACAGGGGUGUCUCUUUUCUUUCUCUCCUCCACUUGACGCAGCUAUCAGGGAUGAACUUUGACAGAGGUAGUGAUAAUGUGUCAGGUACUUACAGCCGAAUGGGCUGGUGGGGAAAACUCUUUUCUUGUCAAGAGUUACUUUUCUUUUCCCUGUGUAGGAUUAAAGAAUAUAUGCCAGGCCACAAUUCAAGUCAAGAAAGCUUCCCAGUGUCCCUCGAGAAUUUUGUGGUAGCCAAUGACAGAGCAAAGCUCACAUGGCCUCUUAACAUUUGGCAGAUGAAAAUAAGAACACGUGUGUUGCGUUAAGGGACUAAACAGCUCAGAGUGUGGUAGUAAGCAAGGCUGAGAAGCAAGCUGGUUGUUUCCCAGGGGGCCUGGCAUUAUGCCUUCCCCACAGAGUAUUUUUAAACUGGUAAUCUCAAUGUAAAAGUCCUCAAUAGAUACAGCACUUAAAAAAUAUGUAUGUCACAUCCACAUAGCACUUAAGGGCACAGAACAGCCAACAUAGUGUCCUCAAGAGGUUGCUGGACUCCAGCUCCAAUCAACUGGCAUGGCUAAUGACCAUGAGUGAUGGGAAUUGUAGUUUCGUCAGUUGUCCCAGCUUGAGGAUUAACUGUGCACAUUGUAAAUGUGUGGGACAUUCAUGACUGAGUAAAAUGUUGCUUCAGAUCAUCUUUUAACUUAAAAGUAAUGAUCAGGGUAGGGACGCGGGUGGCGCUGUGGGUAAAACCACAGAGCCUAGGACUUGCUGAUCAGAAUGUCAGCGGUUCAAAUCCCCGCGACGGGGUGAGCUCCCGUUGCUCGGUCCCUGCUCCUGCCAACCUAGCAGUUUGAAAGCACGUCAAAGUGCAAGUAGAUAAAUAGGUACCGCUCUGGCGGGAAGGUAAACGGUGUUUCCGUGAGUUGCUCUGGUUCGCCAGAAUCAGCUUAGUCAUGCUGGCCACAUGACCCGGAAGCUGUAUGCCGGCUCCCUCAGCCAAUAAAGCGAGAUGAGCGCCGCAACCCCAGAGUCGGUCACGACUGGACCUAAUGGUCAGGGGUCCCUUUACCUUUACCUAAUGAUCGGGGUGAAUGAAUGCCACAAAAUAAACCUCAAAUCAUUUUCCACAACUGUUUGCAGAUAUUAUACCACCAUCUUUACAUGCUGAUGGCUAUUUUUUUUCUUUGUUUCUUUUCUCCUCAAGCUGACCCAAGGCAUUUUGCAGCCUGAAGUUGAGCCCAGUUUAUGCCUGACCCCCCACCCCAGGCCAGCCUUUUUGAAAGUAUUGUGAUGUGAUUCAGAAACCACUUCCAGCAUCCACCUCUUCCUUCCACCUUCACAGUGCUGCCUUGAGAAAUAAAGGCCUCUGGUUUAGCUUUAGAACAUCAAAACUUAGCCAAUUUUGAUUUGGAACAUAAUGUCUCCCCAUGAGAGCAGUGCUACCAAUCCUCACUCUGAACUGGCUUUAUGAUGUCACCAAAGAAGACAAAUCAGAUUGGCUACAUGGCAUGGUCAUGAAGCCAAAUCAGAGUGAGGGCAGGAAGCACUGACCCUGCUUGCAUUUGGCUCAUAAAGACACCCAAUAAUCAAUUGUAUUUGAUGUCUCAAAGCCAAAUCAGAGGGAUAACAUUCCUUCCUGCCAUGUCUCUGGCACAGAGGAAGGAGGAAUGAAGCAAAAUAGCAUUGUGAAACUCAAGUCACCCCGGCCAGAACUGCAAAUAAGUGAUGAAGAAGAGAUAAGAUGAGCAACAUAGGGUUUCAUUUGAAGGUUGCCACAGAAGACUGAGAGAACACCUAAGUCAUGAAGUGCAACAAGAACUUCAUUGUCUCUCUUAAACAAGAACAGAACAGAUAGGGGACAUGCCUUUCUCUAUCCACAUACAACUAAAUCCAGUUCCACCUGGUGUCUAAACUCUAUAAUGGCACUACCCACAAAAACGUUAAACGUUUGUUACAGAAUACUUGACUCACCCCUAGUUCUCGCUCAAUAUGUCAUCAUGGCAAAAAAAUCACAGUUAUCUCCUUUGAAGAAACAUGUAGCAAAAUCUGGCAGAGUUUCUCAGGAAUGUUUUUGGAACAGAAGCAGCAGCACAUGGUGGCAAUUAUUAGAUGAUUAACAACCUUAAAGAAUAGUAUGCAUAGAUAAAGGAAGGGCAUUUUUUUAAUUAAUAGAAGAGAGGUCUUGAUGCUAUGUUCCAAGUGGAGCAAAAGGACUUAUGUUCACCACCCAUCAGCCCACAGACUCCCCAGCCUUCUGAGAACAGUAUCCUUUUCCAUGUGCUCUGCACAAAGAAUUUUCCGCAUGUCAGAGAAUCUGGAAUGACUCCCAAACAUGUGGGAAGAUAAUGUCUGAUAUGAACAGAUUUAAAAAAACAAAAAAACAAAAAACCAACAACAUCUUGUUAACAUGCACUUGCUGGCUUUGUUGGAAUCAUCUUUAGGAGACUCCCUUUAGUUGAUGUGAUUUUUUUUUUAAAAGUAUUUUAUUUGGCCUUGGAAUGCUCAUAUUAUAUGGUGGUGUUUUUUGUUACUCCCCCCUCCCCAAUCCUCUCCAGACAAAUUUCAUUGUAUUGUUGCUCCAGGAAAUUCUGACUCAUGGAAUGCUCUUAAGAGGUAAGCUUCCUUUUUCAGAACAUUUGAAAAACUGCCUGGUAGAAUCUAUAGAUAACUGAAACUCUGUUGACAAAGGUGAGGAUUCCCUAGGGUAGUUAACAGGGGAAACAGUUAGAUGUAGCUAAUGACCGCUCCCCACAUUAAGUGGGGUGGGGCGCCCUUUGCGUGGUCGCUCGCAGCCCCCUGGACCCUAUGCAGCACCAUUAAAACAGGCUUGGCUUCGCCUUCCCCAGGUGGGAUACCUGGAGGUCUCCGCCUACCUCAGCCAGUUGCCCAAUCCCGCCUGGGGAGGCAUUACCAAGGUGAUCAGGCCAGGUAGGGGGAGGGACCACCUGCCCACACAAUAGGGGGAGGAUCUUACCUGGGAAUCGUCACAUAUGAAGUGCCAACUCCAUCAAAAUGCUAAUGCUUCUUCUUAAAGCUGAUGUAGAGGAAACGCUUGCUAAGCACUUAACCAUAGAUUAGUAAUCAAAAUAGGGGCAUGGAUUUGUGCCUGCUCAAAUUCCCAUGGUCUUUCUUAACUAUGGUUUGAGUCUAAUGCACCAUCAAAUCUAAUGCACACCUCAAUUUUCAGAACCUUGAAAUAAUAAAAAAGUAUUUGCUGGUGAAUGUAAAUGUGCCACCGAAUCCGAUGUGCAACUUAAUUUCUGUAAUGUAAUUUGGCCCCCAAAAAUGUGAGCAGAUAGAAACAUAUUAGGCUUUAAAAUGAAUCUUGAGAGGUUUAGUUUAACUGCUAAAUCUCUGUUCUGAUGUGUUUUAUAUUGUAAUUGCUUUAAAUUGUCACAGUUGUAUCUGUGUUACGCUUUUGUUGCUUUUAUGAGCUGCUCAUUAUGUACUGCUCUGUGAUUAUAUAUUAGUUUAUGUACCCCCACCCUGGGAGAAGAAGGCAAGGUGAGAAAUACUAGAAAUAAUUUUUUAAAAAAUGGUUUUAUGGUUCAUAGUCCUUGAUUUUUAUGUAGGUCACCUGGAGAACUUUGCUUAUGGGGCAGCACAGAAUACCACAAGGAAACAAACAAACAAUAAAUCACUGAGUCAUCUGUUCUCUAUUGCUCAAAAGAACUGGGAUGAAAGGUAGAUCCAAUUUCCCUGCGAGUCACAGUAUGCCCGCGGAACAAGAAUCAGAUGUUACUGUUUUCACUUCGAAAACUUGUGCCUGCAUUUGCAACAUAACAACUGCACCCUUUUUAUGUCAGGUUGUCAACUCUCUUUGCAUGUUUCCCUUCGACCUGUAUGAAAAUGUCAUCAGAGCUAAACUGAGCUGUUUUUCACGCCCGCUACCCCAUAAACAAGAGAAAGCAGGACAGUCAUUAAAUUUUAUGAAUGGAAUCCAUCUUUUCAGUCUACCAGAAGCAGCAUUCAUAGUGGUGCAAUUUGAAGCUUUUAAAGGCUACAACACCACACGGACUAGACUAGAGCUUGCCCUU
rnacentral:lncRNA from 1 species